UUUGAUACUCACAGAAUUCUAUCCAUCAGUUUUUGUGUGUGAUGAUAACACCCACAACAACCUCAAUGAAGAAUCCAGUUCGUUUCAGAUUCAUAAUGUUUGUGCUGUGUGUGGUGUCGCAGGUUGUUAAUGGUGAAGAGAAGAUUAGAUGCAUUCCAGAGGAGAGGGAAGCACUCCUCCAAUUCAAGGCAGCCAUUGUCGUUCACAACGGCAUGCUAUCAUCUUGGACCACUCCUCACUGCUGCCAAUGGGAGGGGAUUCGCUGCAGCAACCUCACCUCCCAUAUUAUAAGCCUCGACCUUCACGGAGACUUUCCUGUACAAUAUGAAUUCUAUGGACGUUAUAUGAGCGGAGAAAUCCACAAGUCGUUAAUUGAGUUGCCACAAUUACAGUAUUUGAACCUCAGUUCUAAUUAUUUUCGACACAGUCACAUCCCAGAGUUUCUUGGUUCUCUCAAAAAUUUGAAAUACCUUGAUCUCUCUUCAUGUUAUUUUGGCGGAAGAAUUCCAAGUCAAUUAGGCUCUCUUUCUCAUUUGGAAUAUUUAAAUCUUGCUUCUAAUUCUCUGAACGGAUCAAUCCCUUAUCAGCUUGGAAAUCUCUCCCAGUUGUAUUAUCUUGAUCUCAGUGGCAAUUAUUUCGAAGGAAAUAUACCUCCUCAACUUGGAAAUCUCUCCCAAUUGCAGCAUCUUGAUCUCAGACGCAAUUGUUUCGAAGGAAAUAUACCUCCUCAACUUGGAAAUCUCUCCCAAUUGCAUGAGCUCUAUCUUGGAGAAAAUUUGGACAAUCUCAAAAUUAGUGACGGAGGUCAGUGGCUCUCAAAUCUCAUUUCUUUAACCCAUCUUGACUUGGAUUCUGUAUCAAAUCUUAAUACUUCUCAUAUUUGGUUGCAAGUGAUUGCGAAGCUACCUGAACUAAGAGAACUAAGUUUAGUUGAUUGUAGCCUUUCCGACCAUUUCAUUCUUUCAUCCAAACAUUUUAAGUUCAAUUUCUCUACUUCCUUCUCUGUCCUUCAUCUUUCUUAUAACAUCUUCACAUCACCAAUGGUAUUCCAGUGGGUCUCAAACAUCACUUCCAACCUUGUUGAGCUUUACCUUAGUGGCAACCACUUGGAGGGUUCCACAUCAAGUGAUUUUGGCAUCGUCAUGAAUUCGCUUAGGCAUCUUGACCUCUCACUUAAUAAUUUAAAGGUCAGGGAUUUGAAAUCCUUCAUUAAUAUAUGCACUUUACAUUCUUUAUACAUGGAGUCAAACAGUUUGACAGAAGACCUUCCCUCCAUUCUCGGUAAUUUGUCCAGUGGAUGCGUUAGACACUCAUUGCAAGAAUUGGAUCUGUCAGGGAAUAACAUCACUGGCACUUUGUCUGACAUUUCAGUAUUCUCCUCUUUGAAAACAUUGCUUCUUGAAAUAAAUCGGUUAACUGGAAGGAUACCGGAAGGUGUGAAGUUACCGUCCACUUUGGAGUAUUUGUCAGUUGGGUCAAAUUUCUUACAAGGUGGAAUUCCAAAAUCAUUUGGCAAUGCAUGUUCUUUGUUUUUAUUGGACAUCUCUAUGAAUGGCCUGACUGAUGAGCUUCCGAUGAUAAUUUCUCACUUGUCUGGAUGUGCUAGAUAUUCAUUGGAACAAUUAAGUCUAGGCAUGAAUCAAAUCAAUGGCACACUACCUGACUUCUCAACAUUCACAUCCUUAAAAAUAUUAUCUCUUCAGAACAAUAAGCUAAAUGGAGAGAUUCAUAAGGACAUUCAAUUUCCACCUAAAUUGGAGGAGCUCUACAUCUGUUCAAACUCUUUAAAGGGUAUGCUUACUGACUACCACUUUGCUAAUAUGUCUAAGUUAGAGCACUUGGAUUUAUCUGACAACUCAUUGGACUUGGCAUUUACUCAAAACUGGGUUCCACCUUUUCAAUUGCUAUCUAUAAACUUGAGAUCUUGCAAGCUAGGUCCAACAUUUCCCAUGUGGUUGCAGACACAAAAUAAAUUUGUCAUUAUUGACAUUUCCAAUGCUACAAUAUCAGGUAUUAUUCCUGAAUGGUUUUGGGCUAAAUUACCUCUACAAAAAGUGAUGACAACGAAUAUUUCAUACAACAGUCUACAAGGUACAAUUCCAAAUGUUUCAUCCACGUAUGUUUCUACUUCCAUGCAUCUUGGAUCAAAUCAAUUUGAAGGUUCUAUUCCUCUAUUUUUACGAAACUCUCAAAUUCUUGAUUUAUCAAAAAAUAAAUUCUCAAAUCCUCUUUCAUUUUUGUGUGAAGAUUAUGCAAUUUCAGUUCAUAUUCAUUUAGACAUUUCGUAUAAUCACUUAUCCGGAGAUAUCCCAGAUUGUUGGAAACAAAUUAACUCAUUAGUUUAUUUAGAUUUGAGUUACAAUAACUUUUCAGGAAGAAUUCCAACUUCAAUAGGAUGGCUUCUUGAUCUUCAAGUAUUAUUGUUGAGAAACAACAAUUUAGUAGAAGGAAUCCCUUUCUCCAUAAGAAAUUGCACAAAGCUAGUAAUGUUUGAUUUGUCAGAAAACAAAUUAUCAAGAUCUAUCCCUGAUUGGAUUGGGACAAAAAAAGAGUUGCAAAUAUUAAAUCUGAGAAAGAAUCAAUUCUUUGGGAGUUUACCAUUAACGGUUUGUUGUCUAAGAAACCUUCAUCUCUUGGAUCUCUCACUAAACAACUUAUCUGGAAAAAUUCCGAAAUGCAUAAACAACCUUACUUCAAUGGCUCAAACGACAUCUUCAAUAUUUGAUGAAAGGCAUGAGUAUGUGUUGAAAAAUGGUUAUUUUGGUCACUUAAAACAAUACUAUUUGAAUACAUGGUUGACAUGGAAAGGUUCGAAACAAAUGUUUAUGGAUAAUGGUUUGUCACUUCUAAAAAACAUUGAUAUCUCAAGUAAUCAGUUCUCAGGAGAAAUUCCUAUAGAAAUAGAGAAAUUAUCUAGACUGAUUUCAUUGAACUUAUCAAGAAACAAUUUGAUUGGAAAAAUUCCUUCAAACAUUGGAAACAUAACAUUACUUGAUUCUCUUGAUUUGUCAAGAAAUCGACUUGUUGGUUCAAUUCCUCGAAGUCUCGCUCAAAUUUAUGGACUUGGUGUAUUAGAUUUGUCUCAUAAUCAUCUAAGUGGAGAAAUUCCUUCAAGCACACAAUUGCAGAGUUUCAAUAAAUCUAGUUAUGAAGAUAAUCUUGAUCUUUGUGGACCACCACUUGAAAAAUUGUGUAUUAUUGAUGGGGAGCUAACACAAAAACCAAAUGUUAAUGUUUGAAAAGAUGAUUAUUCAUUUUUCAAUAAUGAAUUUUUCAUAAGUAUGGCAAUUGGAUUUGCUCUAAGUUUUUGGACAGUGUUUGGCUCAAUCUUAUUCAAACGUUCUUGGCAACUGUCUUAUUUCAACUUCUUGAACAACUUAGAAGACAAUGUUCACGUCAAAAUAGCAAUUUUUGUCAGAGUACUUAAGCAGGACAAGGAUUACAAGUAGUUGGAAGAAAUCUAUGCAUCAAAUGAAGGCACUAGAACCCAAGGAAAGCAAGAAAAACAACAAAAAAUGAAGAACUAUAAU